rnacentral:rRNA from 1 species
CCCCGCACAAGCAGCGGAGCGUGUGGUUUAAUUCGAUGCUACACGAAGAACCUUACCAGGGUUUGACAUGCAAGUGGUAGGAAACCGAAAGGCGACCGACCCUUUCGGGGAGCUUGCACAGGUGCUGCAUGGCUGUCGUCAGCUCGUGUCGUGAGAUGUUCGGUUAAGUCCGCUAACGAGCGCAACCCUCGCUGUGUGUUACAAGUGUCACACGGUACUGCCGGUCUUAAGCCGGAGGAAGGUGGGGAUGACGUCAAGUCAGCAUGGCCUUUAUGUCCUGGGCUACACACACGCUACAAUGGCCAACACAAUAGGUUGCUAAGCCGCGAGGCGGAGCGAAUCCCAUAAAACCGGUCCCAGUUCGGAUCGGAGGCUGCAACCCGCCUCCGUGAAGUCGGAGUUGCUAGUAAUCGCGGAUCAGCAUGCCGCAGUGAAUACGUUCCCGGGCCUU